AUACGUAGGGGGCAAGCGUUAUCCGGAAUUACUGGGUGUAAAGGGAGAGUAGGCGGCAUGAUAAGUUAGAUGUGAAAGCCUUGGGCUUAACCCGAGGAUUGCAUUUAAAACUAUCAAGCUAGAGUACAGGAGAGGUAAGUGGAAUUCCUAGUGUAGCGGUGAAAUGCAUAGAUAUCACACAGAAUAUCGAUUGCGAAGGCAGCUCACAAAGCUAAAAUUGACGCUGAUGCACGAAAGUGUGGGGAUC
rnacentral:rRNA from 1 species